CUCCGGCACCCUGACCCAGCCGCUCUGUUCGGCUCUGGCUCCAGGCCUGGCCAGUGGCCUCAGCUCCCUGUCCUACCGCAACAGGAUUGGCCCCGUGCUCAGUAGUACAGUUCCUGAUGCAUGGGCUGUGGCACAGGGACAAAGGGCAGGGUGCUCAGAGAGAGAGAGCAGCCUGGCCUUGAAACCACAGGCAGAUUUGGGCGACAGGCCUCAGAUGCCCAGGCUGGCCAGGAGCACCCUCUUCCCUCCAGGCCUGCCAGCCACCGAUCAACCCUCUGGGUGUUUCCAGUGUGCUCUGGAGCCUUACAGCACGUGGCCCUUCACCCAGCAGUGUGCACUGCCAUGUGUGCUCACUGCUGCAGUUUGAUUUCCAACCAGAAUCAUGGAAAGAAUGAAGUUCAUGAACCGAGGCACCACUCUAUUCUGUAA
rnacentral:lncRNA from 1 species